AAACUGUUUCAAAACAAUGUCUA
rnacentral:snRNA from 1 species